AAUACCGACGAUCCAAAUUGUUAAUGAUUAUUGUUGUCGAUUUCUUCUACCGGCAUCUAUUUCUGGUGAAGUGUGCAUCUUAUUAAAAUUGUACAAUACGCGCGCGCGUGUGUGUGGGUGUACGUCAAACUGCCGGGGCAUAUAAGUGAGGUUACGUGCAGCCGUAACCGUAUGAUUGCACAAAGCACAUAGCAAUAGUUAGAAGCAAUAAUUUCUCGCAAGCUAGAACACAAAUUCUUGAUGUAAAAUAUCUUAAAACGAUUUUGUGAUUUAUGAUUAGUUCGAGUGAGACAGGCGUGUUUGUUCGUUCAUCGCGUGACGGGCAAAAUUGCAUCAUCAUUAACCUUAUAAGAAGUGGAUCGAAUCUGAAGAUCAAGCAAUAAAGACAACAGUUCAAACAGCAUUUGCUUCCGUGCGGCCCAAAUCGUGGUACCAUCAUUCACCUCGGCCAAGAAGAAUCGGUGAAAACUAUUAUGGGGUCCCGCUCUUCGGACAAAACAUCCCCAAUGCAGGCGUCGGAUGCACCGACAACUCCUCCCCCAGGACCAGCAGCUGUUCCGGUAAUGCCGAACGCCCCGGGUGACGCUUCCAAAGGGCCGACGUCAGCCAUGCAGGCUCCUACAGGUACUGCUGCCACAACCCCGCUUGUGUCAGCAUUGCAGCAGACGGCUCAAAAAGAUGCUAUAGAGCAACCGGCCUCGAGUGAGUCAUCACAAGAACAAACUCUUCAACGAUCUGCUCAGAGUGCAGCAGGAAUGCAGCAGGCAGCUCGAGCAGAUGAUGCUCCGGUAAACAACUUUUCCUUUUCACCUUCCAUAACUAUAGACAAUUUUUCGAUAUCGUUGAUAAUCGUCCCUCCUCUACGGGGAUUACGCCGCGCAGGACAAUGGUGUUCAUCAAUGAAAAAUGCGUUUUUAAGAGCAUUUAAUAGACGAUAAUGACGGUCGUAAAUAAUCAGGACACGGUGCGAUGGUGCAAUUUCCAACACAACCAUGAGCUAAAAACAUUUGGAUCAGGAAAUUAUUUUUUUUUUUCGAAUUAUUUGUAAUCGAAAUUAAACUAGUUCAAAAGUUUAUAGUGUAAGGGCAAUAAAGUGGCAACAAAAGGAGACUUCCACCCUUCUAAAAGGAGGUUUCCCUGUAGUUGUCCACUUUUCGAUAGGGGUGAAAGGCAGGCAAUAUUGACGAGAGUGUAAUGAUAGGAGAAUUAACAUAGACAUACUUAAAAGUAUAUGAAAGGCUCGUGAUAAGAUCAUCUUAAAGGUCAAAAGGCUAGUGAUAGGAUAACUAGUAGAUUGGAGAGUCUAAAUUAUCAAAAAGGGUAGUCAUAAGAGAGUUAGGAAUAAGUUAGUUUAAGAAAUCUGUUCUAAAACUAGUCAUGAAUUCCAAAGAGGAACAGCUUUUAACCACUUUCUUCCAGCUUCGCGCGUGGGAUCUCAACUGAUUGCUAUUUCUACGUUUAUAACCAACACAAUUCUUUGACAAAAUAUCUUUCCUAACCAUUUCGUAGGAAGGCAUAUUUGUAAAUUCAAUGUUUCAUUCAUGUUUAGGUAUUUUUUCUCUUUGACUUAAUAUCAGUAUUGCUUUUUUAUUAUUUAGCAAAGCAGAGCUAUCCCCUCAUGUCCGGCGGUUCGCUGAAGAUCACUUUCACAAAUGGAAUAUGUGCCCGACAUCACCAUGCCCAUGGAUGAGCAGAUUGCGAAACAUCGUCUGGAGAAUAGAUGGCAGCAUAAAUGGCUUUUAUUAUUUAACUAAUAAAGACUGACUAAACCCUCUGUCCCUAGCGUGUAGGCCGGCAUCGCAUGGAUCGAGCUUAUGGUAUACAAAGUUGAUGAAUUGGCUGCCAUCAUCACGACACCGUAUGCGCUACAGAGAAAAUGUGAAAACAUAUCUUCCAUGAAAACCAACAAAGUUGUCGCCGGCUGGUUGUACAUGACUGCGGGAACCAGAUUAUGCCAACGAUUUUGACGGGAAAGUUUAAAGCAAUGUGGUGAAAUUGGCCAACAUAGCCCGAUAAAAUCUGGCUGCAUUCUUCUUCAUCGACCACCCCGCAACGUCGGCAAUACUACUUCGGAACUCUGUAACGUUAGUACCAGCCAACAACAUACCUUGUAAUUCAACAAGAAGAGCUUAGGCAGGAUUUGCUAUCCAAGCUACUCGAAGUCUCAUCAUAGAUGUGUCCCAGCUAGAACGAAGAAGACUGUUACUACAAUUGAUGUGAUAUUCAAUAUAAGACCGAACGCAACUACUCAAAAUAUUGAAAAUAUACGAAAAGAUCCAUCAUAUUAGUGUGUGAA